rnacentral:lncRNA from 10 species
UUUUCAAGCAGUAGGCAGUUCACAGGGCUGAAAGAAUUGGGAGGUGAAUUAUAAACUUUCUGCUUGAAGUGUUCCCAAAUUCCAGACUCUGGAGCAAUCGAGGGAGCCCUUCACAGCUGAACAGGAAACCCUGGCAAUGCUGUGAGAGAUGCUCAAGGGAUGAAUGCUUGGGCCUUUAGGGUACCUUGAGCUGGAGAUGGGGCUGGGGGCAGAUGCCAUAAUGGUCUUCUGCUCCCUUCUAGGUACAGCCAAUUAAUGACAACACUUGUUCCUGCAGAACAGAUCCAGCUUCAUGAUCUUUUAGAAGAGAGUUCUAAAAUCAAAUCCUUUACCUCCCAGCCUGAUUACUCUUCAGUCAACAGAAACUUACCAAGCACCUUUUUUGUGUGUGCCAGGCACUGUUCCAGGCACUGGGAUAGUGUGAGAUCCCUUUCUCCCACCCCACACCCCACAGGACAGAGGUUCUUGACCCCCACCUACACAUCAGAAUCCACCAGGAAGCUUUACAAAAUUCCCGGAGAGAUUCUGAUGUCAUUGAUCUUGGGGGUACAGCUUGUUAAAAGCUGCCCAGUUGAUUUGAAUGUUCAGCUAAAUUUGAAACUGCUACACCCCAGGACAUCUGAUUAAUUACACCCACAGCCUUCAAACCCAGCCCAGUUCCACUUAAAAAGUUUUUCAAAGAUGCAUAGAGCAUGACUGAGGAUUCUAGAUAGGAAAAGGAGAAAUUUUAGGCUAUUAAAGUGCCUAUUACAAUUACACUUUAACAUCGAUAUAGAGAAGCUUUGUCAUUAAAACAGUUUUUUAAGGUUAUUGUGUGAAUGAGAACACUAAAAUCGAAAAUUUAAAAAUACCUGCUGUUCCCUGCCAUCCUCCUGGAAAACUUCCAAGCAGCCCCAAGUGUCUGUAAAGACUCCUUUGUGAAAUGUCUAUUCAGAUGAGCCGCCGGGUCCCUAUUGUAAAGCCAAACUGUUCCUGUUUUUCCUGCUGUUGUCACUGUCGCUCUGGCCCAUGCAACACCACCCCCCGACCGACAGGGAGGGCAGGAGCCACAGCCCGGGCAACUCCUCGAGGGGAGGGAUCUUUGUUUUGUUCACUGAGGUAGUCCCAAGACCCACUGCAGGAUGAGCGCUUGGCAGGUGUUCCUUGUGAGUGAAGAUCUCUAACAGUCAGCGGAUACAGUAGGUGUGCUGCACCCUCACACCUCUUGCUCCUGCCAGCAUUGCUAAUGAAUCAAUCACGACCAUCCUUCCCUUAAGCCUGGAUGCAGUCCUGUAGCUCUCAACCCCACAAUCCAGGGACCAGCAAAGGCAUCACACAAAUUCAGAUGAUGUCCUUCUAUUUCCAACCCACAUCCAGUCUGACCUACAGUCAGAAUUCUCUCCUCCCUUCCUUUCUUCAUUCAUUCAUCCCUCCCUCACUAAGGGCACACAGCUAGCAGGCCAUUAGAUCAGCAGUCCCCAACCUUUUUGGCACCAGGGAACAGUCUCCUGAAAGACAAUUUUUCCAUAGACAGUGGGAAGUGGGGUAAGGGGGAUGCAGGGGUGGUUUUGGGAUGAAACGGCUCCACCUCAGAUCAUCAGGCAUUAGAUUCUCAUAAGGAGUACACAACCUAGAUCCCUUGUGUCACACGUGUCCUGUGAAGAGACAACCAAACAGGCUUUGUGUGAGCAAUAAAGCUUUUUUAAUCACCUGGGUGCAGGCAGGCUGAGUCCGAAAAGAGAGUCAGCGAAGGGAGAUAGGGGUGGGGCCGUUUUAUAGGAUUUGAGUAGGUAGUGGAAAAUUACAGUCAAAGAGGGUUGUUCUCUGGUGGGCAGGGGCGGGGCGGGGGCGGGGGGUCACAAGGUGCUCAGUGGGGGGCUUCUGAGCCAGGAGAAGGAAUUUCACAAGGUAGUGUCAUCAGUUAAGGCAGGAACUGGCCAUUUUCACUUCUUCUGUGAUUCUUCACUAGCUUCAGGCCAUCUGGAUGUAUACGUGCAGAUCACAGGGGAUAUGAUGGCUUAGCUUGGGCUCAGAGGCCUGAUAACUUGCACGUGCAGUUCACAGCAGUGUUCACGCUUCCGUGAGAAUCUAAUGCCACUGCUGAUCUAAUAGGAGGCCGAGCCCAGGCGGUAAUGCUCACUCAUCUCCAGCUGUGUGUCCCGUUUCCUAACCCCCACACGGCCUGGGGGUUGGGGACCCCUGGGUUAGAUCACAUACAGCUUUGUAGACCAUCUAAAGACAUUUACUUUUACCUGAGUGGUGUGGAGAUACACAAAGACCAACCAAAGGAGAACAAGCUAAGGCAAUUUAUUCAGAGCUUGCUAUAGCUAGGGGAUCACCACCAUCACAUUGGUUUGGCAGAGACUCAAAGGCAGGCAGGGGAGUGGAGACAAGGGAAAGCUUCACGUGUGCCCUGAUUGGAGGCUGUGCGCACAAGGAAGCUGAGACAGCUAACUAGAAGGCCAUGCGUCUCCUGUGAUUGACUAGGGAUGCGUAUUUGGCUUUCUCUGGUUGGUCCUAAGUUGCAACUGGGGACAGAAAUUAGGGAAGCUGUCGGCUAUUAGUCAAGUCCUAAAAUCAGUUGGGGACUGAUUGUUACCUGGGUUAUUGUUUGACUUCCUAGAUUAUCUGCUAGAGAUAAUGAUUCGACUUUCUACAAGUCUGACUUGUAUGUAGUAGCCUGGCUUCCUGCACCAGUUGCCACCAAUUAUGGGCCAGAGUUUUGUAUUUACAUAUGGUCAGGCCAUGGUCCAUUUGUAUAUUCAGUAUCUCAGUGAGAUGGAGCAAGAGGGUUGUUUUUCCUUAAAAUAUGUAUUGAAAUGUAAUUCACAUAUACAAUUCACCCACCUAAAGUGUACAAUUCAGGGUUUUCUAGUAUAUUCACAGUUGUGUUGCCAUCAUACAAUUUAAUUUUAGAACAUUUUUAUCCUUCCCCGAAAGAAAUCACAUGUGUUAGAGUCACUCCUGCCUCCCUGCUGUGCCAGGCCUAAGCAACCACGAAUCUACCUUCUGUCUCCAUAGAUACUUAUUCUGGACUUUUCGUAUGAAUGGAAUCAUAAGCAAAAGCUUGAUUUUCCAUUGAAACAGCAGAGCCCUUAACUGCCCCCUCCCUGCCCAUGGACGGUCUCUAUCCUUGCCUGCAUCUAAUUUUUCAAAUUUAUUGACAUACAAUUGUUUCCACAUUUCCUGACCGUCUCUUUGAUGUCUAUGAUAUCUGCAAUGCUGUCUCUUUUUCAUUCCUGAUACUGGUAAUUGGUGUGUUAUCUUUUUCAUGAUCAGUCUACAAAUAGCUAAAGAUUUACCACCUUUAUUGAUCUUUUCAAAUAACUAUUUUUUGGUUAAUUGGUUUCUCUCUUUUUUUAGGUUUUCUAUUUUUCUUGAUUUCCACUGUUAUUGUUAUUAUUUCUUUCCGUUUACUUACUUUGGGUUUAAUUUAUUUGUUUUAGUAAAAUGUACAUGACAUAAAAUUCAUCAUGUUAACUAUUUUUAAGUGUGUAGCUCUGGUAGUAAGCUGCAUAGCUGUGGCACUAAGUACAUCCAUACUAGUGUGCGGUCAGCCCCACCAUCCACCUCCAGAACUUUUUCAUCGUCCCCAACUGAAACGCUGUCCCCAUUAAACAAUAACUUCCCAUUUUCCCUCCCCACAACCCCUGGCAACCGCCAUUCUCCUGAGUCUGACUACUUUAGGACUUCAUAUGAAUGGAAUAAUAUAGCAUUUGUUCUUUUGUGACGGGCUUAUUUCACUUAGCCUAACAUCUUCAAGGUUCAUCCAUGUAGCAUGUGUCAGAGCUUCCUUUCUUAUGAAGUCUGAGUAGAUACCACAUUGUGAUUAUUCAUUCAUUCAGUGAUGGACACCCGGGUUCUUUCCACAUUUUAACUGUCAUGAAUGAUGCUGCUAUGAACAUGGGUGUGCAAAUAUCUACUCAAGUCCCUGCUUUCACCUCUUUUGGGUAUAUAUCCAAAAGUGGAAUUGAUAGAUCAUAUGGUAACAUUCUACGUUUAAUAUUUUGAGGACUCACCGUUCAUUUUCCACAGCAACGACGCCAUUUUAUAUCCUGCCAGCAAUGCACAAGCGUUCCAAUUUCUCUGCAAUGCACAAGUGUUCCAAUUGCUCCGCCUCCUCGCUAAUGGUUUUCUGUUUUGUUGUUGUUGUUUUUAUAAUAGCCGCCCCAACGGGCGUGCAGCUGUCUCAUUGUGGUGGGUUUGAUUUAAUUUUAAUUUUUGUAGCUUCUGAGAAGUAGAAGAUUAAGAUGGUAUUCUUCACCAGAGUACUUUGCUACUCCAUUUUACUGAGGUUCAAUUUCACCAAAGAUUUGGAAAAGUAAUCCUUUGAUUAAAACAAAUGAUUGUAUCAUUUAAUAGUCACAAACCUUAAGUGUGUUUUACGGGAAUGCAAGCACUUCAAAAAAUUGCUUAAGUCAAACUACUUCAAGGCCACCUCUUCUAGUGUUUUAAAGAGCUGGUUAGCACAGCCACACACCACAUGGGGAAGUUCUGGCUGAUGGCGGACCAUGCAUAUGACGAUGGUGCCAUAAGAUUAUAAUACUGUAUUUCCAUUGUACCUUUUCUAUGUUGAGCUAUGUCUAGAUACACAGAUUCUCACCAUUGUCUGACAGUUGCCUACCCUAUUCAGUACAGUCCCAUGUUGUAUAGGUUUGUAGCCUCGGAGCAAUGGGCUCUACCAUGCAGCCCAGGUGUAUAGUAGGCUGUACCAUCUAGGUUUGUGUGAAUAUGCUCUACGAUGCUCACACAAUGACAAAAUGACCUAACAAUGCAUUUCGCAGAAUGUGUCCUCA